CAAGCAGAGGGGGCUUAGUGGUGGGGUGACUGCGUACCUUUUGUAUAAUGGGUCAGCGACUUAUAUUCUGUAGCAAGGUUAACCGAAUAGGGGAGCCGGAGGGAAACCGAGUCUUAAUUGGGCGUUAAGUUGCAGGGUAUAGACCCGAAACCCGGUGAUCUAGCCAUGGGCAGGUUGAAGGUUGGGUAACACUAACUGGAGGACCGAACCGACUAAUGUUGAAAAAUUAGCGGAUGACCUGUGGCUGGGGGUGAAAGGCCAAUCAAACCGGGAGAUAGCUGGUUCUCCCCGAAAGCUAUUUAGGUAGCGCCUCGUGAAUUCAUCUCCGGGGGUAGAGCACUGUUUCGGCUAGGGGGCCAUCCCGGCUUACCAACCCGAUGCAAACUGCGAAUACCGGAGAAUGUUAUCACGGGAGACACACGGCGGGUGCUAACGUCCGUCGUGAAGAGGGAAACAACCCAGACCGCCAGCUAAGGUCCCAAAGUCAUGGUUAAGUGGGAAACGAUGUGGGAAGGCCCAGACAGCCAGGAUGUUGGCUUAGAAGCAGCCAUCAUUUAAAGAAAGCGUAAUAGCUCACUGGUCGAGUCGGCCUGCGCGGAAGAUGUAACGGGGCUAAACCAUGCACCGAAGCUGCGGCAGCGAACGUAUCACUUAAAGCGAUUCAGCGGGUUACGAUUGACGGAGCGAAGCGACGUCAAAGCGUAUACAAAGUCGAGUCGGUUUAAGGAUACGUUCGUUGGGUAGGGGAGCGUUCUGUAAGCCUGUGAAGGUGGCCUGUGAGGGUUGCUGGAGGUAUCAGAAGUGCGAAUGCUGACAUAAGUAACGAUAAAGCGGGUGAAAAGCCCGCUCGCCGGAAGACCAAGGGUUCCUGUCCAACGUUAAUCGGGGCAGGGUGAGUCGACCCCUAAGGCGAGGCCGAAAGGCGUAGUCGAUGGGAAACGGGUUAAUAUUCCCGUACUUGGUGUUACUGCGAAGGGGGGACGGAGAAGGCUAUGUUGGCCGGGCGACGGUUGUCCCGGUUUAAGCGUGUAGGUGUGUGUUCCAGGUAAAUCCGGUUCACUUUAACACUGAGGCGUGAUGACGAGGCACUACGGUGCUGAAGCAACAAAUGCCCUGCUUCCAGGAAAAGCCUCUAAGCAUCAGGUAACAUCAAAUCGUACCCCAAACCGACACAGGUGGUCAGGUAGAGAAUACCAAGGCGCUUGAGAGAACUCGGGUGAAGGAACUAGGCAAAAUGGUGCCGUAACU
rnacentral:rRNA from 1 species